GAUGAACGCUGGCGGCGUGCCUAAUACAUGCAAGUCGAACGAAACUUCUUUAUCAUCGCGUGCUUGCACUCACCGACAAAGAGUUGAGUGGCGAACGGGUGAGUAACAUGUGGGCAACCUGUCCAAAAGAGGGGGAUAACACCAUGAAACAGGUGCUAAUAACGCAUAAGCAUAGUUAGCGCACGGCAACUAUGCAAAAGGUGGCUAUACUACCCCCGUUGGAUGGGCCCGCGGCGCAUUUGCUAGUUGGUAGGGUAAAGGCUUACCAAGGCAACGAUGCGUAGCCGAAUUGAGAGGUUGAUCGGCCACAUUGGAACUGAGACACGGCCCAGACUCCUACGGGAGGCAGCAGUAGGGAAUCUUCCGCAAUGGGCGAAAGCCUGAUGGAGCAACGCCGCGUGGGUGAAGAAGGUCUUCGGAUCGUAAAACCCUGUUGUUAGGGAAGAACGUGCGUGAGAGUAACUGUUCACGUUUCGACGGUAUCUAACCAGAAAGCCACGGCUAACUACGUG
rnacentral:rRNA from 1 species